AGUAAAGUCAGCUAAUCAAGCUCUUGGGCCAUACCCCAAAAAUGUUGGUUAAAAUCGUUCUUAUACUA
rnacentral:tRNA from 1 species